AUUUAUAGGAAGUUGCACCACCGGCUGGCAGUUAUCACACGAUAAGGCGUAGAAUAAGGUGUAGGCGAAGCAUAUUCAACGUUGAUUUUGAACAUUCCAUUGAAGAUAUUUUUUGACAGCAAGGCGAAGCAACAGCAAAUUCUGAAUUCCUUUUGACAGUUGAAAAUGACCUGUUGUGGUUUAAUAAUUGAGCGUGCCGAUCGUGAACCGAUACCGGUGCCUUUAACUGGUGUCUCCGUCCAGGCACGCAUAAUCGACUUGGUUGCCGAGGUAACCAUUCAGCAACGCUACGUGAACAAAGAAAAUCAACCCAUUGAGGCUGUUUAUCUUUUUCCCCUUGAUGAAGGGGCUGGAAUUUGCAAAUUUACUGCUGAAGUAGAUGGGCGUGUCAUCGAAGGUGUUGUCAAGGAAACGAAAGAAGCCCGUGAAGACUAUGACGAAGCAAUCCAGAGCGGACAUUCGGCUUUUUUGGUUGAAGAGAAACUACCGGAUGUCUUCAAAGCUAAAGUAGGCAACUUAGCCGCUGGAUCUGGAGCCAAAAUCAGCUUAACUUAUGUCACGGAAUUAAAAGUGGAAGGAAAGGAAAUCCGUUUUUACUUACCGACUACCAUUGCUCCUCGCUAUGUUCCUAGCAGCGACAAAUCCAGCACGGCGGCUGACCUGGCAUCCAUCCAAUACACAGACCAAUCCAAUUAUCAAGUUGACUUUAACGCCAGCGUGCGAAUGGCAUCGGCCAUCAAAGAAAUACGUUGUCCUACACACAAAAUUGCUGUUAAUCUCGACGCUGCCACGCCGUUGAAUGGGACAUUUCAUUUGGAUAAUGUGGUGACAUCCAUGGAUCGCGAUCUCGUCUUUUACAUUCAAGUGGCCGAGCCAAACCAGCCACGACUUAUUCAUGAGAAAUCUCCAAAUGGUACUACAGCAGUGAUGUUAAGUCUGGUUCCUACCUUCAAGUUGGCUGAACAGAAGACCGAGCUUAUUUUCCUUGUGGAUCGUUCCGGUUCAAUGGAUGGGCCCGGAAUUGGGCAGGCUAAACAAGCGCUUAAGCUGUUUCUUCAUUCGUUGCCCUUGGAUUGUUACGUUAAUAUUGCGGGGUUCGGUAACACCUACGAAGAACUUUUCCCAGCAAGCAGGAAAUACGAUGAAGUGGUCCUGAACACCGCAAAGGCCUAUGCUGGAAAAAUCGAUGCGGAUUUGGGAGGUACUGAAAUACUGCGACCAUUAGAAAUCAUUUUCAAGAAACCGCUUAUCGAAGGCUACUUACGUCAGGUGUUUGUUCUCACGGAUGGAGAGGUAUCCAAUGCGGACGAAGUUCUAAGUCUGGUCCGUCGUCAUAAUGGGCAAGCCCGGGUCUUUGCCUUAGGUUUGGGAAGCAGCGCCAGCCAUCAUCUCGUUGAAGGCAUGGCUCGUGCUGGUAAUGGAACAGCUCUGUUUGCGUCACUGGAAGAACGUCUGGAGAAGAAAGUCAUGCAACAACUUCAAGAUGCUUUACAACCAUCACUUACAGAUAUCAAGAUCAAAUGGGAAGGGCACGGUGAAACCGAACAACAGUCGGAUGCAGUGACCAGCAGACCCGUUCAGACUGAAAAGACGUUGAUGGGAUACGGUAAACCGCUGAAUGCCGAUCCUGCGCCGGAAGCUUGUGUCGAGACACCAGAAAAGAAAUUCCGACAGGCUCCGUGCAAUAGCAUGAUUCCUGCCGUAUUUGAUGGAAGACAUUUGAUAGUGUACGCCCUGCUUGCGGAGGAUGCCCAUCUGCCAAAAUGGGCUGAGGUCGUUGCUGUUUCUCCAGAUGGCCCUCUAACGCUGAAAAUAAAUUUGGUUGAUUCUAAUUUGGAACAAGGCCAAAUUAUUCAUUCUUUAGCGGCAAGGAAACUGAUUCAGGCCCUGCAAGACAGAGAAGAGAAUAAUGAAGACACUAACGCUAAAAAAGAAAUUGUUCAACUUGGCUGUCGAUAUGGAUUAGCAUCGCGAUACACUUCGUACGUGGCUGUCGAUCCCAAAGUGCAGAAGGAACUCAAAGAAUCCUGGAUGAUGAUGAAGUCACGUGAUGUUCCUCUCCAUUUGGCUCAUGGUUGGGGGGGUGGCUUUGGUUUACAGGCGAUGGGCCUGCGCUGUGCCCCACCAGUAGCAAUGGCUGUGGUGGGGCACAACCACGUGUACUGUUUAAGUGGUGGGCCUGAGACGAUGCCAUUUGCCAUGAAUGAUGAUGAUGACGAUGAUGAUGAUGACGAUUAUAGUGAUAUGAGAGAAAAAAUGCUACGCCGUUCUAGCCCUUCACAAAAAGCUAUGGAAUGUGACGAUCUAGAUGUAGAACUGAUGCCGCCGCCGCCGAUGCAAGAGGAUUCUAUCGACAGCGACAGCGACAACGUUCCCGGUAGUAUGUUCGGUGGUACGGCUAAUUUUUCGGAUUUCACGGAAAACCAUCCUGAAGCAAUCGAAACUGAAGGAAACACGGAUGACGACAAAUUAAUGAAACUCGUAUCAAGUCAAAAUUUUGAUGGUUCGUUUAAACUGGAAACAACGUUCGCUAGUCUUCUCGAUACGACAUUAGAUGACAUCAAACAAUCUGGACUGGAACAUUCGUACAGUGAACUAGUAUGGGCUACUGCUGUUGCUUUGGCGUACAUGUCAAUUGCGCUGAUUGAUCUGCAGGAUACUUGGAUAUUGGUGGCUAAGAAAGCGGAAUCUUGGCUACGUUCCUCCCUUCAACCGACUGGAGAAGAUGUCACUUGCACGAAAGCAGCCCAAGAUUUUGUUAGAUCAAAAUUACAUUUGUGAAAAACAUUACCGCCAACUUAGACGUGGAUCGUUCGCUAUUGCAUUUCUUUCACUUUGCAGCAUAAAAUCGUCCGUCUCUCGGUUAUGCACAAAACAAUUUCACUUGUGGCCUACACGGAAUGUUAAACUCACCUGAUAUCCUGAAUGGAAAUAUCAAUCACUUCAAAGAAAUGAGUAGACCUAAGAAUUUUGAAUUAUAUUUACCUAAGAGAAAUUAGAAACAGUUUCACCAAUCUGUUGUCUAAGGUUGAGUUCCAAAACCUUGGAAUUCUAAGUCACUUUAACAGGUUUUUGGGCAGUGAACCGCCGAGACAAAAACGGACCGACAAAAAGGAAAAUGUAAUAUUUCAAAUACAAGUCUUUCGUCUUUUAUUUACAGAACUAUCCGGUGGAACAAAACAUUUCUCUUUGUUUGGAAUGAAACAAACAGAAUGUGGAGAACAACAAGUGCUGUCAUUCAAUAUGGAAUUGUUUCUUGGAGAAAUACAAUAGAAUAUAAUAAUAGA